rnacentral:rRNA from 1 species
CUUCCCAUUCCGAACAGAGAAGUUAAGCCUUGUCACGCCGAUGGUACUGCGUCACAGUGGGAGAGUAGGUAGCUGCCGUUU